CGUUUCCUUUGCGAAGACAGUUUUUCUGAAGUGCCAACCAACUGGAUUGAAAAUAACGAUACUUCAGCUGAAGUAGCAAAUUUUUGUUGGUGGUCUAUAACAAAAAGGUCAGUACAUUGAUUGAAAAUCGUGUACAACCGAGAGAAGACAUGGAUGAAGUACGAUAUUGAGAUACAAAAAUACUGCUCUUCACUCAUAACCGCGCGAAAAGCAGCGUCCGACUACUUAACAACUGAUGAUGAUGCUUAGGCAGAGGUUUGCGAAAACCAAUGCCACGUGAACAGUCUGAUUCCGAAUAUGAAGAGGAAGAAAAACGCGUUGAAGCUCCUAAGAAACUAUCAGAGAAAAAGAGAUUAAAAAGUUUUCAAAAAUUGAUGCCACGUGAACAGUCUGAUUUUGAAUGCGAAGAGGAAGAGAAACGCAUUGUAACUCCUAAAAAACUACCAGAAAAAAAAAUUUAAAAGAGACGUAUUACACGGUACAACAAAAUGCAAUACAUAAUUUUUCUGCCGAUUUAAAUGUUACUCCAUUGGACUUGACUGAUAUUCCGAUAAUUAUAACCGACAACGAAAAUGUUAAUAAGAUAAACUUUAAUUAUGACAGAUUACAAGAAAUUUGUAGACUUCAAACAGCGACAUAUUUCGAAGUUCAAAACAUUUCUCGCCGACUUGCCAAAUUAGAACGCAAGCAACAGAACGUGCCAGUUGCUAAUGAAAAUGAAGAGGAUUUGGUGAAGGAACUUUUACCAUUAAAGACAAUCGUUGAAAUAAAAUAUUUUGAUAAAAUAAUCACAGAUAGUGCCAUAACAGCAUCACAAUUUGUAAGUUUUCUUUCUUGUAAUAAUGAUUUUGCUACGUGUAAAUUUUACUUAAAAUAUAAAUAAUUUUAUAUAUA
rnacentral:lncRNA from 13 species